rnacentral:rRNA from 1 species
GACGAACGCUGGUGGCGUGCUUAACACAUGCAAGUCGAACGGGAUUUCGUAAACAGAAGCCUCGGUGGAAGAUUACUAAUGAGAGUGGCGAACGGGUGAGUAACGCGUGAGCAACCUGCCUAUGACAGUGGGAUAGCCUCGGGAAACCGGGAUUAAUACCGCAUAAAAUCGUAGAAACACAUGUUUUAACGGUCAAAGUUUUAUCGGUCAUAGAUGGGCUCGCGUCUGAUUAGCUAGUUGGUGAGAUAACAGCCCACCAAGGCGACGAUCAGUAGCCGGUCUGAGAGGAUGAACGGCCACAUUGGAACUGAGACACGGUCCAAACUCCUACGGGAGGCAGCAGUGGGGAAUAUUGCACAAUGGGGGAAACCCUGAUGCAGCGACGCCGCGUGAACGAAGAAGGUAUUCGUAUCGUAAAGUUCUGUCCUAUGGGAAGAUAAUGACAGUACCAUAGAAGAAAGCUCCGGCUAAAUACGUG